GAUGAACGCUGGCGGCGUGCCUAAUACAUGCAAGUCGAGCGAACAGACUAUGCCCUUGCUCCCCUCACGUUAGCGGCUGACGGGCGAGUAACACGUGGAUGACCUACCUAUAAGACUGGUAGCACUUCGUGAAACCUGAGCUAAUACCGUAUAAUAUAUUAAACUUCAUUGUUCAAUAGUGAUAGACUGUUUUGCUGUCACUCAUAGCUGGAUCCGCGCCGCAUUAUCUAGUUGGUAAGGUAACGGCUUACCACGGCAACGAGGCGUAGCCGACCUGAGAGGGUGAUCGGCCACACUGGAACUGAGCCAGGGUCCAGACUCCUACGGGAGGCAGCAGUAGGGAAUCUUCCGCAAUGGGCGAAAGCUUGACGGAGCAACGCCGCGUGAGUGAUGAAGGUCUUCGGAUCGUAAACCUCUGUUAUUAGGGAAGACCAAAUGUGUAAGUAAAUAUGCACGUCUUGACGGUACCUAAUCAGAAAGCCACGGCUAACUACGUG
rnacentral:rRNA from 1 species